rnacentral:rRNA from 1 species
GUAGGGAAUAUUGGGCAAUGGUCGGAAGACUGACCCAGCCAUGCCGCGUGCAGGAAGACGGCCCUCUGGGUUGUAAACUGCUUUUAUCUGGGAAGAAAAAGGCCAUGCGUGGCAAAUUGCCGGUACCAGAUGAAUAAGCACCGGCUAACUCCGUGCCAGCAGCCGCGGUAAUACGGAGGGUGCGAGCGUUGUCCGGAUUUAUUGGGUUUAAAGGGUGCGUAGGCGGCUGAUUAAGUCAGCGGUGAAAGACUUCGGCUUAACCGGAGCAGUGCCGUUGAUACUGGUUGGCUUGAGUGUCGGAGGGGUACAUGGAAUUGAUGGUGUAGCGGUGAAAUGCAUAGAUACCAUCAGGAACACCGAUAGCGAAGGCAUUGUACUGGCCGACAACUGACGCUGAUGCACGAAAGUGUGGGGAUCGAACAGGAUUAGAAACCCUAGUAGUC